GUAAAUCCUCUUACAACUCUGGUAUAUUUCAAGAGUGCUGAUAAGGCCGAAAUUUGGAUUAAUCAUCCUAUCUAUACAUAACAAAAGAAAAGUUUCAUUCAGACCCACUUUUUUUAUUAUUUUACAUUUUAUUUUUUUUUCAACUUCAGCAAUAGACUAGCACUUAUGAUUAUAUACUAUUAUUCUACCUAUAUUACAAACAUAUUUCCACUAGAUCUAUUUCUCAGUUUCAUUGUAGUUAAGUUGUUGUCCUAAUUUUUUUUUUAGUUAUUAAUAUUAUUAUUAAUUUUACUCCAAGAGAGCUGAUAAAGCUCGAGUUUGCAACAUAGAAUACCAUAGGAAAUCAGGGAAUAGAUUCAUCGUCAUUCCCUGACGAUAAGUUUUUUUUUUUUUUUAAUUUUACUUUUAAUUAGUCUUAAAAUAUUAAUUAAUAUAAUAUUAACGAUUUACUUUUUUUUUUUUUUUAAUAAUUAUCAUAGUAGUUGUACUAAGGCCCAUCUAAUAUUAAUAUACUACCAUUAGUAUUUUCCUAACAUACACAACAUAAGAAGUAAAUCUGGCUUCCCGUUCGGUUCAUUGUAUGAUCAUUAU